rnacentral:lncRNA from 10 species
UUGAAAUGUUAUUCACAUACCAUAAACUUCACCCAUUUAAAGUGUACAUUUCAGUGAUUUUUAGAUAUAUUCACAGGGUUUUGCAACCAUCACUGUUAAUAAUUCCAGAACACCUUUUCACUUAGAAAGCCUGUAUUCUUUUUUUUUUUUUUAGAUGGAGUCUCACUCUGUCGCCCAGGCUGGCGUGUGGUACACUUUGUUCACUGCAACCUCCACCUCUCAGGUUCAAGCAAUUUUCCUGCCUCAGCCUCCCAAGUAGCUGGGAUUACAGGCGCACACCACCACGCCCAGCUUAGUUUUGUAUAUAUUUUGUAGAGACAGGGUUUUGUGAUGUUGCCCAGGCUGGUCUCAAACUGGGCUCAAGCGAUCCACCUGCCUUGGCCUCCCAAGGUGCUGGGAUUACAGAUCAGCUUCAUAGUAAGAUGUGGUAUUUGUGGACCUAGGUCUGUGUGAUAUUUUUCUUUCUUCUUUUCCUGAAAGUCUUUAUAAUUCAAAUAUAGAAUUAGAUUCUUCAAGUGUUUUUUUUGUUUUUUGUUUUUUUUAAAUCUGUAGAAUUCUAGCAAAUUGGUUAAAAGUCAAGUUCAUGGGAGAUGAAGGCUCAGUGGAUGACACAUCCAGCGAUGCUGGUGGGAUUCAGACGCUUUCGCUUUUCAACUCACUUAGCAGCAAAGGGGAUCAGAUGAUUU